rnacentral:rRNA from 1 species
AGAGUUUGAUCAUGGCUCAGGACGAACGCUGGCGGCGUGCUUAACACAUGCAAGUCGAGCGGUAAGGCCCUUUCGGGGGUACACGAGCGGCGAACGGGUGAGUAACACGUGGGUGACCUGCCCUUAGCUCUGGGAUAAGCCUGGGAAACUGGGUCUAAUACCGGAUAUGACCUCAUGACGCAUGUUGUGGGGUGGAAAGCCUUGUGCGGCUAGGGAUGGGCCCGCGGCCUAUCAGCUUGUUGGUGGGGUGAUGGCCUACCAAGGCGACGACGGGUAGCCGGCCUGAGAGGGCGACCGGCCACACUGGGACUGAGACACGGCCCAGACUCCUACGGGAGGCAGCAGUGGGGAAUCUUGCGCAAUGGGCGAAAGCCUGACGCAGCGACGCCGCGUGAGGGAUGACGGCCUUCGGGUUGUAAACCUCUUUCAGCCCUGACGAAGCGAAAGUGACGGUAGGGGCAGAAGAAGCACCGGCCAACUACGUGCCAGCAGCCGCGGUAAUAC